AUACGGAGGAUCCGAGCGUUAUCCGGAUUUAUUGGGUUUAAAGGGAGCGUAGGCGGAUGCUUAAGUCAGUUGUGAAAGUUUGCGGCUCAACCAUAAAAUUGCAGUUGAUACUGGGUGUCUUGAGUACAGUAGAGGCAGGCGGAAUUCGUGGUGUAGCGGUGAAAUGCUUAGAUAUCACGAAGAACUCCGAUUGCGAAGGCAGCUUGCUGGACUGUAACUGACGCUGAUGCUCGAAAGUGUAGGUAUCAAACAGGAUUAGAUACCCUGGUAGUCCACACAGUAAACGAUGAAUACUCGCUGUUUGCGAUAUACAGUAAGCGGCCAAGCGAAAGCGUUAAGUAUUCCACCUGGGGAGUACGCCGGCAACGGUGAAACUCAAAGGAAUUGACGGGGGCCCGCACAAGCGGAGGAACAUGUGGUUUAAUUCGAUGAUACGCGAGGAACCUUACCCGGGCUUAAAUUGCAAAUGAAUGUUCUGGAAACAGAUCAGCCGCAAGGCAUUUGUGAAGGUGCUGCAUGGUUGUCGUCAGCUCGUGCCGUGAGGUGUCGGCUUAAGUGCCAUAACGAGCGCAACCCUUAUCGAUAGUUACCAUCAGGUUAUGCUGGGGACUCUGUCGAGACUGCCGUCGUAAGAUGUGAGGAAGGUGGGGAUGACGUCAAAUCAGCACGGCCCUUACGUCCGGGGCUACACACGUGUUACAAUGGGGGGUACAGAAGGCAGCUACACGGCGACGUGAUGCUAAUCCCUAAAACCUCUCUCAGUUCGGAUUGGAGUCUGCAACCCGACUCCAUGAAGCUGGAUUCGCUAGUAAUCGCGCAUCAGCCACGGCGCGGUGAAUACGUUCCCGGGCCUUGAACACACCGCCCGUCAAGCCAUGAAAGCCGGGGGUACCUGAAGUGCGUAACCGCGAGGAGCGCCCUAGGGUAAAACUGGUGAUUGGGGCU
rnacentral:rRNA from 1 species